rnacentral:lncRNA from 1 species
CUUCUUCCAUCAAUUGAUUGUUGGGAUCUUCCCAUGAGGCUAUAUGUAUGUCAAUAUUGCCAAAGAGAUGAUGAUGUGAGAUUAUAGGACAGCUGUUUAUGAUUAUGGGACAACCACUUCUUCAUGUCUUCUGCACCUGAUAAGGCCAGUUUCUGAUUGUACCAUUACCAUCAUGCAACAGAUUACUGCUAUGCCUGCCUAACCUCAUGCAUUGGAGAACUGGAUGACAGAGCAGAAUGUCGACGACCCAUGACUAAAAAGCGUGUGCCGAUUUACUUUGUCUUACCAGAGAACUUUCUCCAGAAGUAGAGAUUGGAAUUGAAAGGACGAACUCCUGUAACUCUAAAACGUGUGUCUGCACUACCCAGCCACCCUGGCUGCAGCAGAAAGGACAACUGGAUCCAAAAUAAUUCUUUUAUAUGUUCUUGUUUGUGUUCAGAAGUUGUGUGGAACAAACGUAGGAAAUAGACUAGACUCAGUAGCCUGCAAUCUGUGUGAAUAUGAAAUCCCCCUAAAGUGGCAGUUACCCUUAAGUGGACUUCCCUGGGGCUAUCAGUGAUGGAGUAGCUGGCAUUACCUGCUGAGUGAAUAGAGCAGCUGCCACUUGAAAAAUCAAGGGCUGGACCCCUGUAGCUUAAUGACCCUCUCCAUCCAAGUGCUGAGGACGCAGGUCUCCCUUUCUCUCCUUGUUAGACUAUGGUGAAUGAAAUCUUUUUUACAUAAAUGAUUUAGUCCAUCAUUCAUUCUGUUACUUAGCCAAUCAGUUCUUCCCUAAUUAAGCACAUAUAGAGCACCUGCUGUGUACAGGCACUGUGCCAUGGACUAAAGCUACAGAAACAGAGACCUGGCCUCUGUUUUCAUGGCGCCUGUCUUGUGAGGAGACAGACACAUAAUUCUCAAAGCAGGAGCUAAGUUCUACGAUAGCACAAAUUAGGGAGUUAACGAUUCUACCUAAAAUGCUCACUUAGAACAUUCCUCCAAGUUUCAAGAAAGGAGAAGUUUUAGACGGCUGGUGGCUUUGCAUUCACUCACUGCUGUGAAAGUAAAACAGAAAGAAAUACAGUUGAUAAUUGUUCAAAAAUACCUGAGAAGAGUCAACUUGCUUGGUAAAGAUGAGAUGCCAUCCAGUUCAGGCGGCUUGCAGCUCCAGAAUGUGUAAUUUCAUUUUGCCAGAGUUUAAAG